rnacentral:misc_RNA from 1 species
AACGCAUAUUGCGCUCUUUGGUAUUCCGAAGAGCAUGCUUGUUUGAGUAUCAGUAAACACCUCAACCUCUCUUUUUGACAAAAAAAGGGAGGGUGGACUUGAGCUAUCCCAACGACCUUCACCGGUAGGCGGGCGGCUUGAAAUGCAGGUGCAGCUGGACUUUUAUCUGAGCUAAAAGCAUAUCUAUUUAGUCCUCGUCAAACAGGAUUAUUACUUUUGCUGCAGCUAACAUAAAGGAUAAUUGUCCUCUUUGCUGACUGAUGCAGGAUUUUACGACACUUUAUGUGUUGUUCAACUCGAUCUCAAAUCAAGUAAGACUACCCGCUGAACUUAA